UUCCAGGGAUGGGAUUCGAGCCCACAGUGUUCCGUUUACCGGGCAGAUGUCUUGUCCACUAUAGGCUACCCUGGA